AUGGUCCGACGAAGAGCUGUUGCUAAGAAACUCUUUUUCUUUCCAUUUCAACUUUCAACUGGCACUGAGCAGCUGUGCGGCAGCGCCUGUAUACGCCAUUUUCAUAUCGGGCGAUUUGCUGUUCGAGGGCCUUUAUGCCUACAUUUUCGUGUAUCCCGAGCUGCAGAUUCAUGCGUGGCGGCGUUUGAAGAGUUUAAGGAUGACGUGGAGGGUGAGUGCGAUGGUUAUAUAAGCGGUCAUGGCUGUGACGAGAAAUUGCCACGUGGAUCUCCAUGA